UACAGAGGUCUCAAGCGUUGUUCGGAUUCAUUGGGCGUAAAGGGUGUGUAGGUGGCGCGCUAAGUCGGGUGUGAAAUUUCGGAGCUUAACUCCGAAACUGCAUUCGAUACUGGCGUGCUUGAGGACUGGAGAGGAGACUGGAAUUCAUGGUGUAGCAGUGAAAUGCGCAGAUAUCAGGAGGAACACCGGUGGCGAAGGCGGAUCUCUGGGCCAUUACUGACGCUGAGGAGCGAAAGUGUGGGGAGCGAACAGG
rnacentral:rRNA from 1 species